CGUCCUCUGAAGAUGGGCGGAACAUACAAUACAAUUCUAUAUAAGAAGUUUUGAAUUCUGGUUGGCUAAGGAACUUGGCGCAUGCUCAAAUCUCCUGUUUUUUUAGUCGAACUCCCGCUAUUUUAAAUUGGCGGAGGUUAUGAUUAUUCGACCUUUUA